rnacentral:rRNA from 1 species
GGUUAAGCGACUAAGCGUACACGGUGGAUGCCCUGGCAGUCAGAGGCGAUGAAGGACGUGCUAAUCUGCGAUAAGCGUCGGUGAGGUGAUAUGAACCGUUAUAACCGGCGAUUUCCGAAUGGGGAAACCCAGUGUGUUUCGACACACUAUCAUUAACUGAAUCCAUAGGUUAAUGAGGCGAACCGGGGGAACUGAAACAUCUAAGUACCCCGAGGAAAAGAAAUCAACCGAGAUUCCCCCAGUAGCGGCGAGCGAACGGGGAGGAGCCCAGAGCCUGAAUCAGUGUGUGUGUUAGUGGAAGCGUCUGGAAAGGCGCGCGAUACAGGGUGACAGCCCCGUACACAAAAAUGCACAUGCUGUGAGCUCGAUGAGUAGGGCGGGACACGUGGUAUCCUGUCUGAAUAUGGGGGGACCAUCCUCCAAGGCUAAAUACUCCUGACUGACCGAUAGUGAACCAGUACCGUGAGGGAAAGGCGAAAAGAACCCCGGCGAGGGGAGUGAAAAAGAACCUGAAACCGUGUACGUACAAGCAGUGGGAGCCUCUUUAUGGGGUGACUGCGUACCUUUUGUAUAAUGGGUCAGCGACUUAUAUUCUGUAGCAAGGUUAACCGAAUAGGGGAGCCGAAGGGAAACCGAGUCUUAACUGGGCGUUAAGUUGCAGGGUAUAGACCCGAAACCCGGUGAUCUAGCCAUGGGCAGGUUGAAGGUUGGGUAACACUAACUGGAGGACCGAACCGACUAAUGUUGAAAAAUUAGCGGAUGACUUGUGGCUGGGGGUGAAAGGCCAAUCAAACCGGGAGAUAGCUGGUUCUCCCCGAAAGCUAUUUAGGUAGCGCCUCGUGAAUUCAUCUCCGGGGGUAGAGCACUGUUUCGGCAAGGGGGUCAUCCCGACUUACCAACCCGAUGCAAACUGCGAAUACCGGAGAAUGUUAUCACGGGAGACACACGGCGGGUGCUAACGUCCGUCGUGAAGAGGGAAACAACCCAGACCGCCAGCUAAGGUCCCAAAGUCAUGGUUAAGUGGGAAACGAUGUGGGAAGGCCCAGACAGCCAGGAUGUUGGCUUAGAAGCAGCCAUCAUUUAAAGAAAGCGUAAUAGCUCACUGGUCGAGUCGGCCUGCGCGGAAGAUGUAACGGGGCUAAACCAUGCACCGAAGCUGCGGCAGCGACGCUUAUGCGUUGUUGGGUAGGGGAGCGUUCUGUAAGCCUGUGAAGGUGUGCUGUGAGGCAUGCUGGAGGUAUCAGAAGUGCGAAUGCUGACAUAAGUAACGAUAAAGCGGGUGAAAAGCCCGCUCGCCGGAAGACCAAGGGUUCCUGUCCAACGUUAAUCGGGGCAGGGUGAGUCGACCCCUAAGGCGAGGCCGAAAGGCGUAGUCGAUGGGAAACAGGUUAAUAUUCCUGUACUUGGUGUUACUGCGAAGGGGGGACGGAGAAGGCUAUGUUGGCCGGGCGACGGUUGUCCCGGUUUAAGCGUGUAGGCUGAUUUUCCAGGCAAAUCCGGAAAAUCAAGGCUGAGGCGUGAUGACGAGGCACUACGGUGCUGAAGCAACAAAUGCCCUGCUUCCAGGAAAAGCCUCUAAGCAUCAGGUAACAUCAAAUCGUACCCCAAACCGACACAGGUGGUCAGGUAGAGAAUACCAAGGCGCUUGAGAGAACUCGGGUGAAGGAACUAGGCAAAAUGGUGCCGUAACUUCGGGAGAAGGCACGCUGAUAUGUAGGUGAAGUCCCUCGCGGAUGGAGCUGAAAUCAGUCGAAGAUACCAGCUGGCUGCAACUGUUUAUUAAAAACACAGCACUGUGCAAACACGAAAGUGGACGUAUACGGUGUGACGCCUGCCCGGUGCCGGAAGGUUAAUUGAUGGGGUUAGCGGCAACGCGAAGCUCUUGAUCGAAGCCCCGGUAAACGGCGGCCGUAACUAUAACGGUCCUAAGGUAGCGAAAUUCCUUGUCGGGUAAGUUCCGACCUGCACGAAUGGCGUAAUGAUGGCCAGGCUGUCUCCACCCGAGACUCAGUGAAAUUGAACUCGCUGUGAAGAUGCAGUGUACCCGCGGCAAGACGGAAAGACCCCGUGAACCUUUACUAUAGCUUGACACUGAACAUUGAGCCUUGAUGUGUAGGAUAGGUGGGAGGCUUUGAAGUGUGGACGCCAGUCUGCAUGGAGCCGACCUUGAAAUACCACCCUUUAAUGUUUGAUGUUCUAACGUGGGCCCCUAAUCGGGGUUGCGGACAGUGUCUGGUGGGUAGUUUGACUGGGGCGGUCUCCUCCUAAAGAGUAACGGAGGAGCACGAAGGUUGGCUAAUCCUGGUCGGACAUCAGGAGGUUAGUGCAAUGGCAUAAGCCAGCUUGACUGCGAGCGUGACGGCGCGAGCAGGUGCGAAAGCAGGUCAUAGUGAUCCGGUGGUUCUGAAUGGAAGGGCCAUCGCUCAACGGAUAAAAGGUACUCCGGGGAUAACAGGCUGAUACCGCCCAAGAGUUCAUAUCGACGGCGGUGUUUGGCACCUCGAUGUCGGCUCAUCACAUCCUGGGGCUGAAGUAGGUCCCAAGGGUAUGGCUGUUCGCCAUUUAAAGUGGUACGCGAGCUGGGUUUAGAACGUCGUGAGACAGUUCGGUCCCUAUCUGCCGUGGGCGCUGGAGAACUGAGGGGGGCUGCUCCUAGUACGAGAGGACCGGAGUGGACGCAUCACUGGUGUUCGGGUUGUCAUGCCAAUGGCACUGCCCGGUAGCUAAAUGCGGAAGAGAUAAGUGCUGAAAGCAUCUAAGCACGAAACUUGCCCCGAGAUGAGUUCUCCCUGACUCCUUGAGAGUCCUGAAGGAACGUUGAAGACGACGACGUUGAUAGGCCGGGUGUGUAAGCGCAGCGAUGCGUUGAGCUAACCGGUACUAAUGAACCGUGAGGCUUAACCUU